UACGUAGGGGGCAAGCGUUGUCCGGAUUUACUGGGCGUAAAGAGCGUGUAGGCGGCCAAGCAGGUCCGUUGUGAAAACUGGAGGCUUAACCUCCCGACGUCGACGGAAACCGAGUGGCUAGAGUCCGGAAGAGGAGAGUGGAAUUCCUGGUGUAGCGGUGAAAUGCGCAGAUAUCAGGAAGAACACGAAGGGCGAAGGCAGCUCUCUGGGACGGUACUGACGCUGAGGAGCGAAAGCGUGGGGAGCGAACAGG
rnacentral:rRNA from 1 species